rnacentral:rRNA from 1 species
GAUGAACGCUGGCGGCAUGCCUAACACAUGCAAGUCGAUCGGUAAGGCUCUUCGGAGUACACGGGAGGCGGACGGCUGAGUAACGCGUAGGAACACACCCUGCAGUGAGGGAUAAGACACCGAAAGGUGUUCUAAUACCGCAUACGGUCUUCGGAUUAAAGCAUUUAUGCGCUGAAGGAGUGGCCUGCGUCAUAUUAGAUAGUUGGUGAGGUAAUGGCUCACCAAGUCGAUGAUGUGUAGCUGGUCUGAGAGGAUGAUCAGCCAGACUGGAACUGAGACACGGUCCAGACUCCUACGGGAGGCAGCAGUGAGGAAUAUUUCACAAUGAGCGAAAGCUUGAUGGAGCAAUGCCGCGUGCAGGAUGAAGGCCCUCGGGUUGUAAACUGCUUUUAUAAGAGAAGAUUAUGACGGUAACUUAUGAAUAAGGGACGGCUAACUACGUG